rnacentral:lncRNA from 1 species
UUAAAAUAAAAUAAAAUAUUUAAUAUUUGUAUUUCGUAUAUUUUUACACAUUAGGAAAUAACAUUCUUGUAGCAAUAGCAAAUAGUCAUAGCUACUGGUGUAAGUUAAGUAUUAAUAGUUAAGAAUUAUACUCGUAAACUGUCCUCGGGCAUCGUCCCUGCUCAAUUGCUUAUUGAAUAGUCCUAGAUACAAGGCCUACGAUCUUGCAUAGUCUCCAACAACCUCACGCACUCAUUGCACAUCAGACAAAUACAAUCGUACUCGCGGAAAUCCACUCGAACUUAGGAGGAAAUGGGUUAAGAGUGUACAAAUUGCUAAGAAAUUUGAACUUUGAUUUUGUUUUACUCAAUUGUGAUCCAAUAAAGAGUUAGUAUUACGAAUUUAAUUAAACUUUCAUGGUUUUAUUCACAGUGUGGUUGUUGUAGCAAUUCAAAAUGAUGUUCAAAACAAACAAACAAAAUAUUUUUCAAUUGACAUUUAAUGACAUUACAGGCCAAAGAAAAAGUGCUCAAAAUAAGCAUCAGGGCCGGGAAAGGUUUUUUGGUCCGCCCUUCCUUCCAUUGGGUAGCGGCCUAGAGGGAUUCUGGAAUCCCAGGGAGGUUGGGAGUGUAAAAAUUAAUUAAAAAUUGCCAGCGAAUUUUUCUCGGUAAAGCAGCCAGCAGAAGGUUGGCGAAAAGUUAAGUCUACAAAAGCGACUAGCUUGCGUGUGUCGGUGUGUGGGUUGUUUUGUAUACAUACAUGCGUGCAUGUUUGGGUGCAGAAACACUUUAUAUUGGCCUAAUUAAAAGAGGACUUCCCCCCCCCCCCCCCCCCCCCCCCCCCAUCA